GUAUAUUUCCAGGAGCAAACAGCCCAGCGAUCAGUCGUAUUUUGGAGUCGAGACCGACAUGAGCGCCCCUUCGGCAGGUAGUCCUUGUCUUGUUGCCGCCGCCGUUGAGUGGACAGGCCUCCUGUUCGUGGCGGGGAGGCCUCCGAAUCACUGUAUAUCUGGUCCACUUGUCCACGUUAUGGAAAUCAUCGGAGAUAAAUUACACACAUGUGUCGAGUUCGUGAUUCCCGAAGACAACAAGUACGGGUCUAGGCUUCUGAACGGGACGUGGACAGGAGUCAUAGAAAUGGUCCGUCGCAGACAGGCGGACAUGUCGGGCGUCACGCUCGCCAUCGACGCUGUACGGGCCGAGGUGGUGGACUUCAGCAUCCCUCUCUACAUGGACGAGCAUGUCUUCACGUACAGGCGGCCGGUCUACGAGUCCGAUCUUCUGGGAUUCAUUAAGCCGUACACCGCGCAGGUGAGAGCAUUGAACAUUUCACUGGAGAUCAAACAGGAUAAAAAUUUGAAAUAUAUAAUGGUCUCUUUCAGAGUAAUCGGACUUCAUGUGAGAUAUCAGUACAUUAUAAAGAGAUGCAGCCUGCAAACUAAGGUGAACUACAUGCACUUAAGGUUUCAGGAACAUGUUACGUUUGACACUGUGUGCGUGUGCUUGUGUGUGUGUGUGUGUGUGUGUGUGUGUGAGUGUGUGUGUGUGAGUGUGUGUGUGUGUGUGUGUGUGUGUGUGUGUGUGUGUGUGUGAGUGUGUGUGUGUGUGUGUGUGUGUGUGUGUGUGUGUGUGUGUGUGUGUGUGUUUCAUUAUCAUCUUUUCAAGAUUUGGUUCCUGCUUCUGGCAACGAUAGUUGUGGUGGCCCUCGAUAUAUUCGUCACGCAGCUAUUCAAUGACUACGUCCUGUCUCG